GUGCACUCCUUGUCGUCAUAUACCGCAUACACAUCCCCUCCACAGAUCGUCGCCCUCUGAAUGCACUCUCUGGAUGCUUCCCCAAAGGCUUCGGGAUGCAGAACCUGCCGCAAAUAAACCAGGCUUCUCCAUAUCGCCGGUGGAAGCCUACAAGGUAGCCACGAUGGCCGCUUGCGCAGUGAGUCCGCGGCCUGCGUACCGCGCCAUUUGACGGCUUUUCCAGGUGAAGACUCCAUGAAGAUGGGCUGAGUAAGGAGACCAGAAGAUGUGACAGGUGAAACGCAGCAGUAGGCCUGGUUACACCCAAAGCUCUUGGAAGUCUGAAAAGCCAGCCUGUCUGCCUCGGCUCAUUCACUAAGAGUUAUGUAACCAGUGAAGGGGCCAUCAUUUAUGAUUUGAUCUACAAUUGGUUGGAAAAACAAAAGCAAGAGGACCUGGAAGUCAGCAGCCUUUACUUUAUGACUUAGCCAGGUUCUGCCAGCAGCGACGGCAUACGGUUCAAGGCUAGUUUGAUCUACGGAGCUAAUUCUAGAACAGACAUCAAAGGCUACACAGAGAAACCCUGUCUUGAAAAAACCAAACAAAGUGAAAUGCUUUGUGAUUUAACAUGUAAUUGGGUCAAUAAAGACUUUGGAAAGUGUCUUUG